rnacentral:rRNA from 1 species
UGGUUGAUCCUGCCAGUAGUCAUAUGCUUGUCUCAAAGAUUAAGCCAUGCAUGUCUAAGUACACACUUUGGUAAAGUGAAACCGCGAAUGGCUCAUUAAAUCAGCUACAAUUUAUUAGAUCGUACACUGUUACUUGGAUAACUGUGGGAAUUCUAGAGCUAAUACAUGCCGAGAGUCUCUGCUCUUCGGGGCAGAGCGCAGUUAUUAGACCAAAACCAGCCGUAUCUUUCGGGGUACGCUCUUUUGGUGACUCUGGAUAACCUUCAGCCGAUCGCAUGGCCUCGUGCCGGCGACGUAUCUUUCAAGUGUCUGCCCUAUCAACUUUCGAUGGUACGUGAUAUGCCUACCAUGGUGAUAACGGGUAACGGGGAAUCAGGGUUCGAUUCCGGAGAGGGAGCCUGAGAAAUGGCUACCACAUCCAAGGAUGGCAGCAGGCGCGCAAAUUACCCACUCCCAGCUUGGGGAGGUAGUGACGAAAAAUAACAAUGCGGGACUCUAAGAGGCCCCGUAAUUGGAAUGAGUACACCUUAAAUCGUUUAACGAGUAUCAAUUGGAGGGCAAGUCUGGUGCCAGCAGCCGCGGUAAUUCCAGCUCCAAUAGCGUAUAUUAAAGUUGCUGCAGUUAAAAAGCUCGUAGUUGGAUCUGGGGCUUGAGGUCGCUGUCUAUCGUUUCGGCGAUGACGGUGAUGCUCAGCUCUGCUUGCCGGUGACUGUUGCGGUGUUCUUAAUUGAGCGCUGUAGCAGCACGGCACGUUUACUUUGAAAAAAUUAGAGUGCUCAAAGCGUGCUUGUCGCUUGAAUAAUGUUGCAUGGAAUAAUGGAAUAGGACCUCGGUUCUAUUUUGUUGGUUUUCGGAGCUUGAGGUAAUGAUUAAGAGGGACGAACGGGGGCAUUCGUAUUGCGGUGUUAGAGGUGAAAUUCUUGGAUCGUCGCAAGACGGACUACUGCGAAAGCAUUUGCCAAGAACGCUUUCAUUAAUUAAGAACGAAAGUCAGAGGUUCGAAGACGAUCAGACACCGUCCUAGUUCUGACCAUAAACGAUGCCGACCAGCGAUCCGUAGUGGUUGCUUUAUGGACCCUACGGGCAGCCUCCGGGAAACCAAAGUAUUUGGGUUCCGGGGGAAGUAUGGUUGCAAAGCUGAAACUUAAAGGAAUUGACGGAAGGGCACACCAGGAGUGGAGCCUGCGGCUUAAUUUGACCCAACACGGGAAAACUCACCCGGUCCGGACACCGUAAGGAUUGACAGACUGAUAGCUCUUUCUUGAUUCGGUGGAUGGUGGUGCAUGGCCGUUCUUAGUUGGUGGAGUGAUUCGAC